ACGGAAGGCAGCAGUGGGGUAUAUUGCACAAUGGAGGAAACUCUGAUGCAGCAACGCCGCGUGAGGGAAGAAGGUCUUCGGAUUGUAAACCUCUGUUUUUGGUGAAGAAUUUUGACGGUAGCCAAAGAGGAAGCCACGGCUAACUACGUGCCAGCAGCCGCGGUAAUACGUAGGUGGCAAGCGUUGUCCGGAUUUACUGGGUGUAAAGGGUGCGCAGGCGGGACUGCAAGUUGGAUGUGAAAUACCGGGGCUCAACCCCGGAGCUGCAUCCAAAACUGUGGUUCUUGAGUGGAGUAGAGGUAAGCGGAAUUCCGAGUGUAGCGGUGAAAUGCGUAGAUAUUCGGAGGAACACCAGUGGCGAAGGCGGCUUACUAGGCUCUAACUGACGCUGAGGCACGAAAGUGUGGGUAGCAAACAGGAUUAGAUACCCUGGUA
rnacentral:rRNA from 1 species